GAGAACUAUUCAGAAGACUAUAUAUUCUUCUAAUGGAGUACUCCGAAUUCGAUGAUGAGGUCAGCUUGUGAGCAUUUUGACCAACAGACCGGGUGCUGCGUUGGUUGUUAUUAAACUUGCUUCCACUUUUCUCAGACAUGGGAGUUCUCUCACAACUCACGAAGAAACUUAUGAUUUCUCCGCUGAGAACUAUGAGGAAGUUCAAUCAAUACUUGGGGCAAUGGCAGAAAUUGCUAAGAAGUUAACUUUUGCUUCAGAUUUAAUCGAACGCGAACAAUGAAGUAUAAUGAAAAUGAUCACAUCGUGCAGAAUCCGUAACCAAGUUUUAUACUGCUACAUGUAUGAAGGAACACAGGUAUAUAUGUUUCUAUUAACUAGUUUACAUGAUUCACAAUUUUAAUUUGUAGAUCUCAAGCACCAUGUUGAUACUCACUAAUUAAUGCUUACAAUAUGCUAAGUCAGUCUAUGGCACAAUGGAAGCUUUAUAAGACGCAGCUAUAAGGAAUUUUAUAAAAAGAAUUAUAUUCCCAGCAAAAUGUUCAUUAUUGUUAUUGUGGGGGGAUUUACAUGAAACAAAGGUUCGAGUUAAACUUUCUCAAUUUAGAGAGGAAAUCGACUCAAAAGUUCUAAUCAUUCUUUUCUUUAUCCUCUUCAAUAUCAGGCCGAUGAAGUAGUUUUAUGGAUUAAACAAUAUUUCGCAAGCAAGAAGAAAAAGUCAAAACGACAGAUUCUACCAUUCCCUUUUCAAAAAUGGGAGAACCCAGGUUGUUUGCCCACGUAGAUCCCAUGUAAAUGUAAAGGUAACUAACAGCUAAUUCAUCCAAAUGUUGCAUGGUCAUUGUGGGACAUCAAUCCGUCUUUUCUGUCUGAUCAUUAUUAGAAUUUUGAAUUCCCACAUUUGAGAAUUUCAGGAUAAUGUCUUGCUGACUAAGUUUUUCUUUUUUUGUUACUGCAUUUUUCAUGUGUUUUGAAGUUGGGGCGAGCUGAGAUGUAUUUUAGUUUUACGUUGGAAAAGAAAGGGAUUGAAAGUCUGGACGAUGUGUCUAGAUACUAUAAAAGUUUCCUGCUAGUUGUGCAACAAAUUAAAAGGAAAAUUUUCAAGGAUGAAGUGGCGACAGAUAGAGUUUCCAUCACAGAUACGCAACAUGUAUGCCAUUUGGGUAGAAUGCGACGAACAUGAAAUUAUGAAGCUUUUUUCAUGAGGUAAUUUGUCAUCCGCUCUAUUGUCAGCUUUCUGAAACAUCUAGGUGUUUCUAGUGGUGGUUGAUCAUUUGUUGGUGACGAUAAUGGCGAUGAAGGUGGUAACAUAACUGGUUGUGGUAACAUAGUCGUAAGGGAGAAGUGAUAGUGACCUAACUGCAAAGCAGUAAGCAUCUUAAAAAGUGAAAUGUUGGGUCCGUGCUUGCACGGUCAACCCUUGGCCAGUCUAAAUAGAGAUCGAACUAAAUUUUCUUCUAUUCACAUUAUUUAAAUUGUUCAAACUAGAUUCCAUGGUAUCAAAGAAAAUUGCCUAGGCUGAAACAACUGGGAUGUUUCUAAAAUGGGAGUUAUUGAAUAUAUUUCUUACGGAACCACUAAAUAAUCUUUUGGUUACAUUACUUAGGUUGAUCUAAUGAAAAGUCAGGGAAUCAAAGAAGAGGUAUUGGCAUUGGCAGAGGAACAAGAGUAUGUUCUGGAUUGGAUGCAUAGUUUUCUGCAUGAUUGCAGUGUUUCUGAGCGUUUUCUGGAACAUUACAAUACAGUAUGUUCGAACAUGUUUUCUUAAAUAUUUUUUUUCAUCAUGUUUUCCUUAGUUCUUGUUUUAAAUAACUUAUUGACCUUUCCCAUUUCGUGCAACACUUUCUAUAUGUAGGUGCAGUUCA